rnacentral:rRNA from 1 species
AUGCUCGAGGCCUUGCUGCAACCGACUCUGGUCAUGCCAUGGAGCCUAUCUUUGUGCGGCGCCAGGGGGCAUUCUUGCUAUGCCCGACUCCCCCCUCCCAGGCCUCCUAUGGCUCAUCGGAAGACUAUUGCUGGAGUGAGGAUUUCCAACAAGGCGGGCCUCUCUCUGCAGAAAGUGAAGCGUGGGGGUCCCUGGGUUGCGGUUCCGGCAGCCAAGGUGGCGAAAAAGCUGGUCAGCCGGUCCUUGGGAAUUACCAGGGAUGGAGAGGACGUCAUAGAGGCCACGCUUGCUGAUUUCACAGCCAAGUUCAAAGAGCAGCUGGCCCCGGAAGUGAUCAUUGCCAUGAGAGAUUUCUUCCACCUUGACGAUGCUGCUGUCGAUGGCGUGGAGGAUGCGCUGAUCGAGCACGGCGGUGAAGGAACACUGGAGUUGAUCCAAGAGGAAGGUGUGGCCCAACAGAGCAUGGGAACACAGUAG